UGGUCUAAGUUGCGUGUCCUCGGCUAUGGCGCUUGCAAGCGGAGGAAUGGCGGCUUUUCAAGCACUUGGGCACGAACGAUUCGUCAAGCCAAUGCGAGCCAAGCGAGGAAGAAGAGUGUGGACGAAUGUUUCCAAGCUUGACACUUUGCAGCCGGGCUGGGAAGAAGAUAAGUUCUCCAAGUACUCGGGCUAUAUUUCUGAUGUGUCCAACGACGAGACCGAGUUUAAAGAGUAUGAUCCAGAUCAAAUCUCGAGAGCUUUCAAGAAUCGCCCUCUUCUUUUGAUGCGUCGAUUGCUGCAAAUCUCUUUCAAAGUUGGAGGCUGGCUUGGAAUUCGGUACUUUGAUUCGUUACUUGGCCGGUCUGAUGCUCUCUUCAAGAAACGCGCUGCUGAGUUUCGGGAGGCACUAGUAGAGCUUGGGCCGGCUUUUGUAAAGAUCGCACAAGCAGUGUCUUCACGUCCAGAUUUAAUUCCACCAGCGUACAUCGCCGAGCUUUCUCUCCUUCAAGACCAAAUCGCACCAUUCUCCACCAAAGCCGCUUUGAGCAUCAUCGAGUCGGAGCUUGGUGUUCCAGUUGAUGUCUUGUUCUCGGAAAUCACUCCCGCGCCUGUUGCAGCAGCAUCCCUUGGCCAGGUUUAUCAAGCUCGACUUCGACCAAGUGGUGACACUGUUGCUGUCAAGGUGCAAAGGCCAGGGGUGAAAGCAACCAUAUCUUUGGACAUUUAUAUACUUAGAAUUCUGGCUGGCUAUGCUAGAAUUGUUGGAAGAUUUAACACAGAUUUGCAGGCUGUUGUAGACGAAUGGGCCAGUAGUCUCUUUAGAGAAAUGGACUAUGAAGCUGAAGCACGAAAUGGAGAGAGAUUCAGGCGUUUGUUUGGAGAUAUCCCCGAUCUUACAAUCCCGAAGAUGUACAAGGAACUCUCCAGCCAGCGAGUGUUGAUCAUGGAAUGGGUUGAGGGACAGAAGUUAUCAGAAGCCAAAGAUCUUCGACUCGUAGAGAUUGGAACGUAUUGUUCAUUGUCACAAAUUUUAGAAACAGGUUUUUACCACGCUGAUCCUCAUCCGGGCAACCUUUUGUGUACGACUGAUGGUAAACUAGCUUAUAUUGACUUUGGGAUGAUGGGUGAAAUCAAGCAAAAUUUUAGAGAUGCUAUAGUUGAGGCCUCUUUGCACCUUGUAAAUCGGGAGUUUGAUGCACUGGCAGGAGAUAUCGUUAAUCUCGGAUUUCUUCCUCCCACAGCUCCAUCAGCGGAAGUGAGCCGUGCACUUACAGGUGAGUCGAUACCAUCAUACUUUUCUCUCGUGAUUCGAAGUUUAACGGUGUUGGAAGGAAUAGCCAUUACCAUCGAUCCAAACUACAAGGUUUUGGGACGCUCUUACCCUUGGAUAGCUAGGAAAGUUUUGACUGAUGAUUCGCCAACGCUUAGAUCAACUCUUUACAAUCUGUUAUACAAGGAUGGUACAUUUCAAAUCGAUCGUCUAGAAUCUCUAAUACUUGAGGUGCGUUAAUGAGAGCAUUUUGAUUCUGUUUUGGUUACUCUUACCAAGUGAUGGUUUACAUAGUCUUCAAAAGCCACUGCAAACUGGUCACUAGAUCAAGCUACUACCGAGGCACUCCAGAAUCGAUUGUAUACUUUUAUACUUAGCGACCAGGGUGAAUACGUGAAAGGUGUCCUUCUCGACGAAGUUGUGAAGGGAAUAGAUGCUCUAAAUCGUUCCACACUUGAGAGAUUGGUCUCAAGCUUGGGGUUAUCAAUCCAGGGACUAGUCGACGCCCAAGACGAGGAAAAUCUCAUCAACCUUCUUCGCAUAUUGGCCUUGAUAACUUCAACUUCUGAUAGCUCCUCCAAGCUUCUGAAGUAUGAUCGCACAAGCACAAGCCUCGUCACGAGAACUCCGGAGUUUCUUUCACUGUUGGGCGACUCGAGCGAGUUUCUAAAAUGGUUCUCGGUCCUUGUGAAGCUCCCACUUCCCUUGCAGCAAAAGCUAUUGUUGGUGCCUUUAGAAGUUACAAACAAGCUUGUUUCUCGCGCAAUUGCCAGAGUUUUGAGGAGCUCGCUUUAAAUGGGAUAAGAACUUCUAUAAAGACUGCUGGAAAAGCUGGUAGCUUGCAAAGAACCUCAGAAAGAAGGCGAAGAGUGGAGGAUUAUCUUGCCUCUACUGCUGAGCUCGUUGUCUAUUUUCCGCGCUGAUAAACGAGUACUAUCGGCGCAGUGAUGUCUUUGUGCACAGUCAUUAAGUGAGGAGCUAGAAACUUUCACAAGCAAGCUUUCCGUGCUUGGCUGGUAUGCUCGAGAAUUCCAAGCUUGUGGAGCACUAUGCAGGGACGCAUCCUUUCUCGUUGGCCUUGCUCAACAAAAGCUGUAUGAAUGGCAGAGGGCGGAGGUAUGCUUUACUGGAGUGGCAAACAGCUGUUGAAACUUCUAGACUCGGCUCCGCUAGCAAACUUGAACGUGCUUAUCACACGGAUUAUGGACAUGGGCUUGCUGGAUAGGCGCUUGAUCACAGAGUUACCCAAAUAUUGCUUCGUAAGUGCUAUGAUGCAUGAGCAUGUUGAGGCAUGUGUUGAGGUUGGAGAUGGUAGUACUCUAUACAAGAUUAAUUUGGUGGAUUGACUUAAGUUUUCAAUUUUUCAGUGA